UUUUUUUUAAUUUUUCAUAUUUCGAAUUUUUGAAAAUUUUCAAGAAGAAAUCUUCCAUUGCACAGUAUUGCGCAAUAGAUUUGAAAGAUCUUUGACCACAUUUAUUUUGUUUCAGAAACCUAUAUUAUGUCAAAAAUUUGAUCACAAUCCAAAUUCAGACAGUAUCAAGCUUGAAUAUUGUGUCCAAAUUUGCCCCAACUGUUCAGGGUUCGACCUCUGAGGUCGUAUCAGGCUGCGCUCAGCGAAGCAUUUUAUUCUUUUUUUAACUGCAGGCCAUGGCCACAAACAGAUUUCAUACUGACUUGCUUUUGUUGGGAAAGGCGUUAAAAGCGUUUUACAUUUACAUUAAAUACCAAGAGGUUUAUGAACUGCAUAAGGGCACAUUUGUUUUUCAUAUUUUAUAUUGUAUCUGCUUAGACUUUUUGGAUGUCAAAUUUGUUUUGUACAUUUGACAAUUUUCGCUAUUUUUCACUCAAUUAUUUUAUCUUUUCAAAUAUGUUUUAAUGUUUUGCAAUUCUCUAAUUUCCAAAUAAUUUCAUAUUUUGAUUUUAAUCAUCCAUUCUUCCUUAGACCUUUAUUCAUCACAAUGACAAUCACAUAAACAAAUGUUGAUAUUGUUAGUUAUAAGUAUUUAUGACUAAAUUUUAAGGUAAAUCAAAAUCUCAAUAUGAAACAAAAUAUUACAACCGUCUGGCAAUGGCGUAGCUAUAUUGAAAGCAGUAGGUACAUUAAGGUCUACAUUUGAGUAUUAUAAUUAGAAAAAAAGUUGACAAAUAUCAAGAGAUAAACAUAAAUCAUAUCUUUCUCUUAUUUUGAUUUAUAAUUGAUAUAAGGUAAAUAAUGAGGUCAACAUGUGUGGAAGAAAAAAAAACGGUAAAAUAUUAUACUGAUAUUUUUGAAAUUGAAGAAUAAUCCUGGCAUGAUAAUGAUCAACCAAUCAAUGAAUUAUGAAAUACCACAAAAACACAUUUUGCACGUAUUGCAAAUUAAUCGGAAUAGGAGAAGCAUUUGCACUGACAAAUAAAUAUAAGCUGGUAAAUUUGGCUUUUAUAUGAUAUAUGCAUGUACAAAAACGUAUGUAGUUUGAGAGUUAACUAGACAAAAAUUUAUCCUACGAAUUUGUUUGAACAGAAUUUGAAUUUCUAUGAUAACUCACAUUCCUACCUCGUUUUUAUAUAAAGAAUCUAUAACCACCUAUUACCUCGAUAUUUAAAAUUAUAUGUAAUAAAAACUAUAAAGAAGUAGCAUUGUAAAAAGUAUAAUUUAGUUUUUUUUUGUAUUGCUUUUAUACAUUAUGUACCUUUUAUAUGUCCUUUAUCAAUUGAAUUUCAUGAAUUAUUGUAUACUUUUUUAGAUAUCUUCUAAAAUUAUUGUUUUUAUAAACAUUGGUGGCCUUCGGCUGUUGUCUGCUCUAUGGUCGGGUUGUUGUCUCUUUGACACAUUCCCCAUUUCCAUUCUCAAUUUUAUUUUAAGUGAUAAAAAUAACCUUGAAUUAACUUCCUAAAGUGAUAAGGCAACAUUUUUGGCUAUUAGGCAGGCAUAUAUAUGUUGACCACCAGUAUGUAAUCUGCGGGUUGUUUGCAUAACGACAAAGAUAGCAAAUGCUGUAUUAAUUCACCCAAAAACACUACAUGCACUUUUAUUGAUGGACCGUAAACGUCACACCGUCAAAUGCAUUUUUGUUUUGUAUCAAAACAAUUAUAUAAAUGGUGUUUUCAGACACUAGCUUUUUGUUUUACACUCAAAGCCAAACUGAUACAAUAAAUCUGUGGCUGUGGAACACAGUUUGUUCAUUGGUUAAAUAGAAUAUUUGUUGUAGAACACAGUCAGUACUAUACAGACAAAAACCUAGUAGUCUUAGACUCCGUUACCAUAGUCAGUCGUCUUUAAAUCACUCACACUAACAGUUAACGUUCUAGAAUAUAAUUUAAUUAUAUCAUCACACUUAGCUACGUUUUUACAAAAAUUUAAGCAUGGCAUCAAUAUUAAUUCUAAACCGAAUUUAUUUUGAAAAUAAUAUAUUCAGGUCUAUCACAUAAAAAAACACCAUAAAAUACAUCUUUAAAGUGUUGUAUUAUACAAACAUAAACAUGUUUAAAUAUCAGUAUCUACUAUUGAAUGAAGAUAUCCCAAAAAGGUUACGUAGUUCACUUUAAUAUUUCAAAUUAUUUACUAAAUUAAAAAAAAAGCCAUGUUAAUUGUUUAUUAUUUCGAAUUGCGACGAGAUCGGUUAAAUAAAAAAAUAAAAUUUUAGAUUUUGAAAGAAUUAUUUGAUUUCAGCAUUUCAUAAUCUCUCGUUUGUGCCCAUUUUUCAACAAUUGCAGUAUUACAUGAACUCAAAAUUACAGAAUUUUCAGUAUUAAUAGGGAUUUUGUAUCAGGUUAUUUAAUUUUGUUUUACUUGUUGAUGAAUUUUGUUCGUUCAUAACAUACAUUUUGAGAUUAUUAUGUUGUUAAGUUUGUGUGUUGUUAUUUGAUAUAAUUAUUCAGUCUAAAUAAAUAUGAGAUCUAAUGUUUUA